GACGAACGCUGGCGGCGUGCCUAAUACAUGCAAGUCGAACGCAGUGGGGAUGGUUGAGUAACACGUGGGUAACCUCCCAUCAGAGGGGAUAACACUUGGCAACAGGUGCUAACCCGCUAUUGAUGGAUGGACCCGCGGUGCAUUAGCUAGUUGGUGAGGUAACGGCGUACCAAGGCCACGAUGAAUAGCCGACGUGAGAGGGUGACAUGCCACACUGGGACUGAGACACGGCCCAGACUCCUACGGGAGGCAGCAGUAGUGAAUCUUCGGCAAUGGACGAAAGUCGGACCGAGCAACGCCGCGUGAGUGAAGAAGGUUUUCGGAUCGUAAAACGCUGUUGUUAGAGAAGCGGUAUCUAACCAGAAAGCCACGGCUAACUACGUGCCAGCAGCCGCGGUAAUAC
rnacentral:rRNA from 1 species